UACGUAGGGCGCAAGCGUUGUCCGGAAUUAUUGGGCGUAAAGAGCUCGUAGGUGGCUUGUCGCGUCUGCCGUGAAAGCCCCUGGGCUCAACCCAGGAAGUGCAUUCGAUACUCCAAGGCUAGAGUACUGGAGAGGUGGGUGGAAUUCUCGGUGUAGAGGUGAAAUUCGUAGAUAUCGAGAGGAACACCGGCGGCGAAGGCGGCCCACUGGACAGAUACUGACGCUGAGACUCGAAAGCGUGGGGAGCAAACGGG
rnacentral:rRNA from 1 species